UUCAAUUGAAAACCAACACACACACAUACAGACACACACACACACAAAGCAUAUUUGAGAAUUUUAAAAACAAACAGUUGGGCCAAACUAAAAUUAACAACAUUCCCCACGGACACAGUUUUGAGUCAUUUGAAAACCCACUUGGAUCAGGAAUCACAGACAAAAGCUAAAAAACUCUGUUUGGGAUAACGAAUUUUGCAUUAAAAAUCAGCUAAAACUUAAUAAACAUUUGGGAUAUUUCUUUCGGGAAAACUUAAGAACACAACAAUUGUGGAAAACAGCUGUACCAGAAAGAGUUAAUAACUGUUAGUUGUUGAAAGCCAAUGCGCAAGAAAUUACAUUUCAGUCAGUUAUUUCGAAUAAUCAUGUGAAAAUGACAUGUUUUUUGGGUACUCAUUGAAGUCAAUAAGAAAGAAGCAAAGGCUAAAGAGCAAAGUUUUAAUAUAAUUUCAAUCAAAACAAGAAGAAAACGAACAAAUUGAACAAAACUAAAUAAGACAAAACUAAAUAA
rnacentral:sRNA from 1 species